AUUUGCUGCAUUUCUAAAAUAUCUCUGAAAACAGGCUACAUUUCAGAAUUGAAACCAGCAUUUCCUUUUCUACUUUAAGAGUGCACGCAGGAAGCCAUUGGGCACACCAAGGAAGUUUACUUGUCCUCACCUAUAAAGUGGAACCCCAUCCUUUCUUUGCCUCAAUAAGAUAGAGAAAUGAAGAAAUUGUGAGCAUAAAAUGACACUGGAUGGACAACAGGCCCUGGGGAAUAGUUAAAUAAUCUGCAGAGGAAUCAUUUAUCAUAAAGAAGGGAAGUAGAGAUGAAGGGCUUAAUGGAAAGAAGAAAGAAAAUGCCCAGGUCAUCAGUGUUUUUCUAAACCUCUUCCUAACCCCUUCUACCUCUGCCCUGGUUUGGAACUGUUUUCUUGUUACUAGUUUAUACAGGUCCCCCCUAUUAUAGCACUAAAGCAAGGCUUGUUCAGAGCAGAGCCAGCUCCUAUUAAACCAAUAAUCCUUG